AGGAGAUUGAAGAGAGGGAUUAACUGGUAGCAUGUGUCCAUAAUGCUGUAUAUCCAAGAACUUUUAUUUAUUAUAUUUCCCUAGAGUAAAGAGUUCCAAACUGGACCAGUGGCUCAUCAUGAGGAAGUGAGGAAGUUGAAAAUGUUUCCAGUCUUCAUUGGUCCUGAGGUCACAACUCAGUUCACUAGAUCCCUGCCAAACUCCAGAAAAUGGAAGGGAGUAAGAAAUCAUCCCUGUCAAUGACAGACUUCCAAGCAGAUGGAUUACUAAAUUGGAAAGAAGAUUAGGAGAAUGCUGAAGAGCCUAAUUUACAUGGAUUUCAGAAAAUUAUCUGGCAGUCUCUCAUGCUCUCCUUGUAAACAUAUUGAAGAUAACACAGAAAAUCGAGCAGUUAAGAGUCAACUUUUCAGUCACCAUAUGUCAGUCUAGAGGAAGAUAUUUUAGAACAGCCUCACCAGGAACAGAGUCUUGGGGUCCAGUCAGCAGAUUAUCCACCAGCCUCCACUCCAAAGAAUGAAGAACUGUCAGUAGAACUCCUUCAGGAACUUGUAACUCCCUUUUAAAGACACUUUCUUUUGCAUCACUUCCUGUAUCUUCCUCCACUUUUUAUGUGGACAAAUCAUAGUCUAAAGCCUUUAGGACUGUUCAGGAGGCAGUCAGUCAUUUCUGAUUCAUCACCCACUAUUGCACACGUGGGUCACAGACCUCCCACUUAAUGAUUAUAUUUUUUUGGUGGUUAGAUCUAAAAAUGGGCAGAUCUCCCUACUCAACUUGUAAGUAGGGUGUUUAUACUUUUGGUGAUUAAAUCUAAAAAUAGGCAGUGGUUAUAAUUUAAUCUUCACAAUCA
rnacentral:lncRNA from 1 species